UGCCCGCCUCCCUCUGGAAGACUAGUGAUUUUGUUGUUGUUUGGCUCAUCCCACCACAACAAGUCACAGUCUGCCCCAGGGCGGGGGGCC
rnacentral:pre_miRNA from 1 species